rnacentral:sRNA from 1 species
UUAAAAAUACCUUGCCAUAACAAAAGCACAUUCUAAGCCUUUCGAAAUACCAACAUAUUAAAAUAUAUUAAAGCAAUCUCUAUUGGGGGCUCUCCAUUUCGUUUUCAAAAUAACAAUAACAGCUAUUUAUAUUGUAUAAAAUCUUGCAUUGUAAUACAAUUUACAUUCUAUUCACAACUUCAAAGUGUUUAAAUAUAUUCAGGCAACCUCUAUUAGGAACCUCUAGUUUGUUUUCAAAAUAACAAUAACAGUUAUGUAUGCUCUACAAAAACUUGUAUUGCACUAUGAUUUCCAUUGUAAUACUGUUAUUCACAGAGAUUGAGAAUUUAUCACAAGUUGAUGGUCCUCAAGUGGAAGAGCAACUUCUUUCAACCACAGUUCAGCCAAAUCUGGAGAAGGAGGUCUGGGGCAUGGAGAAUAACUCAUCAGAAUCAUCUUUUGCAGAUUCUUCUGUAGUUUCAGAAUCAGACACAAGUUUGGCAGAAGGAAGUGUCAGCUGCUUAGAUGAAAGUCUUGGACAUAACAGCAACAUGGGCAGUGAUUCAGGCACCAUGGGAAGUGAUUCAG